UGCCGCCUGCCCAGUGAUUAGUUUUUAACGGCCGCGGUAUCCUAACCGUGCAAAGGUAGCGUAAUCACUUGUCCUCUAAUUAAGGACUAGUAUGAACGGCUAAAUGAGGGCCCAACUGUCUCGCACGAUCACCCAAUGAACCUGAUCUCCCAGUACAAAAGCUGGGAUACCCCCACAAGACGAGAAGACCCUGUGGAACUUUCAACCUCCCCGCCGAAUACAACCCAUCCAACCAAUAGGUUGCCAAAUCCACCCUACCAUCAGCAGGAGCUUUAAGUUGGGGCAACUACGGAGCAAAACAAAACCUCCGCGAACCAACCCCCCAAGGCACACCUGCCAAGGGAACAGUACAACCAUCGACCCAGUAAUACUGACCACCGAACCAAGCUACCCCAGGGAUAACAGCGCAAUCCCCUUCAAGAGUUCCUAUCGCCAAGGGGGCUUACGACCUCGAUGUUGGAUCAGGGCCCCCCAGUGGUGCAGCCGCUA
rnacentral:rRNA from 1 species